rnacentral:rRNA from 1 species
GGAGGGGGCAAGCGUUAUUCGGAUUUACUGGGCGUAAAGCGCACGUAGGUGGCAUGGUAAGUCAAAGGUGAAAGCCCUCGGCUCAACCGAGGAAUUGCCUUUGAAACUGCCUUGCUUGAGUCCGGGAGGGGGGAGCGGAAUUCCCAGUGUAGCGGUGAAAUGCGUAGAUACUGGGAGGAACACCGGUGGCGAAGGCGGCUCCCUGGACCGGUACUGACACUGAGGUGCGAAAGCGUGGGUAGCAAACAGGAUUAGAUACCCUGGGUAGUCCACGCCGUAAACGAUGGGCACUAGGUGCAGCGGGUGUCGACCCCCCCUGCUGUGCCGUAGUUAACCGCAUUAAGUGCCCCGCCUGGGGAGUACGGUCGCAAGGCUG